GCAACUCAAACUGAAGCGCCCAUGUUGAUACAUGCAUGUAUUGCUCUGGGUUCUAUUCCUUAUACCUAAACGUUUCGACUGGAGUACACGCACGUGCCAUUUUCCUCCACACCACCUCUCAUUCUCACUCAAGCAUCGCGGACACAGACACCCCGCUCGUAUUAUGUAAGCUUUUUUGUCCGCAUCUCACCACAUCCUCUUCCUUAUUCGGACACUUCCACGUUACACGUACACACACACAUUCUCUCUCGGUGCUCAGCAGUUGACACUUGCCAACGGCCGGCUCCCCGCUUCUCAUUAGCCCAUGCUUCUUGGUGCUGCACCUCCGUGCCCGUCGCACCUUCCCUCUCCAUCGUAAUCAUACAUAUGCACCCCCGUAUCCAUCUACAUACACACGUAGGCAGAUUCAUGCGAUGCUGCCGCUGCUGUGGACCGUCUUCAUGCCCCUCUACGGGUGCUUUCUGUGGCUGCUGCACCAGCGCAUGCUUUCUGUGCUGCUGAUGCGUGUUUGGUUCUCAUUGCACCUAGCCAUCGCCGUCAUUGUGACUCACAUUGCCUGCCGCAUCAUCUCCUUUUUUGCCUACACGCUGAACAUCAUUCCCGCCUCCACUGCUCAGGCCCUCUCGCGCUUCUGCAAGCACGUCGUCUUCAAGGUGUAUUUUUCUGCAAACGUGCCACACGUGCACACCGUACAGAUGCCCGGAUCGCUACCCUACAGCGUCAUGCAGCGAGGCGCCAUCUGCUCGUGUCACUGCAGCCUGUUUGACCCCUUCUUUUCCAUGUCUGUCAUUCCGUACUCGGUCUUGUGGAACGGCCGCACCUUCUUGAAGAGCUCGCUUCUGAACCUUCCGCUGUUUGGGUACGCGCUGCGGUGCGCCGCGUACUUCCCGGUGUACUUCUCGGAUGAGAGCAGCGCCUCCUUUUCGGUCGACAAGGACAAGCAGGCUGCCGUCGCCGCCGACGUCGAGAACUGGGUGAAGAAGGGUAAGAGCCUUUGCUUCUACCCGGAGGGCAUGGUGAACCGCACACCGGAGGUGCUCAAGGACUUCCGACUCGGCAGCUUCAAAACGAUCCUGGCGCACCAGAUGCCCUUGUAUUACUGCGUCAGCUACGGCAACCACGAGGUAUGGCCGCCGUCCUUGAAGGGCUUGCCGGGUUACCCGGCGGAUGUGUACGUGUACAUCGGCAAGUACGACUACAACCCUGACGAGGAAGAUGCACGCUCGCUCGCGACGGGGCUGCGCGAGGAGAUGCAGAAGCACCUUGACGAUAUGGUGUUGAAGGGCAAGAGGCUUGAAUGCGAGCCGCGGCACGUUGCUCGACAUGCAGACCAGGGAGGGGAGAGAGGGAGGCGGAUGAUCGUUGAGGGACACGCUGGCCAGCUCUGAUUCAGUGGCGACGCUCUUUUGAGGAAGUCCCCUUCGCACGCCCUCCUCUUUUUCUCUGUUCGAAUUCACCUUGGUAUUGAUACGGUAUGUGUACUACUACGCACACACCUGCGCGCGCCUCCAAGCGUUAUGUGUGUAUGUGUGCGAGCCGGCUGAGCGAUGUUGCGAGUCGCAUCCAUCGAUGUGUACAUGUAUGUGCCUCACCCUUUCGAAACUAUCACACCAGCCACCUUGUCUCCUCGCUCGUCUCUCAUUCUUCACUCUCCCUCAUCCUAACUUUUUUCUCGUUGAGGAUAUUCACUUCCUCGUGCGUGCGGUGCGUUGGCAAGAUGCCGGUGCAGUGCCGGCAGGUGACGCGCGCUCUCGUUUGAACACCCCUUUGCGCCCUCUUUCAUUUUCCGUUUCGCCUAUCUCUGUUUCUCUCUCUAUCGCUGACUCGCUCGUCUCCGCGCGUGUAUGUGGCAGAGAAGAUGA
rnacentral:misc_RNA from 1 species